rnacentral:rRNA from 1 species
UACGGUGAAUACGUUCCCGGACCUUGUACACACCGCCCGUCAAGCCAUGGAAGCUGGGUGUACCUAAAGUCGGUAACCGCAAGGAGCCGCCUAGGGGUAAAACUAGUAACUGGGGCU